GUCCCCUGGGAGCACCAACAGAGGGGUGGUCAGCAAGUCAUCACGCAAAGAGCACAUAUCACACCAACAGAGGAGCAGUCAGCAAGCCAUCACACAAAGAGCACAUCUCACAGAGGAGCGGUCAGCAAGCCAUCAGACUAAGAGCACGUCUCACAGAGGAGCGGUCAGCAAGCCAUCAGACUAAGAGCACGUCUCACAGAGGAGCGGUCAGCAAGUCAUCACGCAAAGAGCACAUCUCACACCAACAGAGGAGCGGUCAGCAAGCCAUCAGACUAAGAGCACGUCUCACACCAACAUCAAUACUUAAUGCUGAACUGCCAUAAGGGCCAAAGAUCCCCUCACAGGAAGAAACCAAACAAUUAAGAUGGAGGAAAUAAAUACACUCAGGACUGUUUAUGCAUGCAGCAUUUUAAUAGUGUUACAGAACAAGAGACUCCUGUAGACAUAAAAUCAAAGAACAGAACUAUGUGGCAUAACUACACAAAAAAAAUAUAACGUAAAAAACCUCAAUGACUGACAAACUAUGAAGAAUGAAUCCACUGUAAGCAAGGGAAAUGGCUUUAGGGACACGGCCCACUAUGGCAACAUAGAAACCGGAUGUGGAUUUGAAAGGUCUGUAGACCAGCAAGCCCUUCAAAGGAACAUGACAAACACACCAGCUGGGCAGGUUUACCACCGGAGGCACAUUAAACAUUGAUGUGAGCAGAAUCUGCAAAGUUACGACAGCUUACUGCUAUUAUUCUCGAAAGGAACUGUCUCCAGUGCAAAGUAAGGGGGUUGAUCAGCCCGUUGAUUCUCAAUAUUAACACUAACCAACAGAAUAUUUAUAUAAAUUUUCUAUGCUUUUGUCAGAAGCAAAACUUAAUUAAUUACAGUUUUGGUUAAAGCCUUAUAAAAAUAAUUAACAGCAAAUAACUAAUCUUCAACACACACUUUGUACUCUGUGUUCUCCAGCUAAAUUCACUGUGAAUGUGAGUGUGUGGGGCUGGGUCAGGUGUGUGAAAAGCUGUUAUGCCAAGCUGCUGUUUGUGGAAUACAUUCUCCAUUUGGAUUCAUCUCCAAACUCUUAGGAUUUGGCAGCUCCCUCUGAAACUGCAUCCUGGAUUUCCUCAUCAACACACCACAGCAUGUGAGAACAGACAAGAGAAGCUCUUUCACCACAAUGCUCAACAGCAGUACUCCUCAGGGCAGGGUGCUGAGCCCUUUGCUGCACUCCUUGUAUACCCAUGAUUCCAUGGGCAGACUCAGCUCCAACCGCAUUGUGAAGUUUGCUGAUGACACCACUACCGGAUAAGCAACAACAAUACAACGGCCUGCAGGGAGAAGGCGUAGUGACUGAAGGCCAAUUCAUGCUUCACUUCUCUGCGUGUGACAGUGGUCCACGCACAGGGUGCUCUCAGCAGGACCCGGAGUUCAGGAACAGGAGGACUCAGCCCAGGACUCAGGAACAGUUUCACAACUAUAAACCACUGCUCUUACGUUAUUUAAUAGCCACUGCCACUUUAAACCUCAGAACCUUGUUGUGCUGCUUGAAUACAGACACUCCUCGCUUAACGACCAAAUUGUGUUCCCAUGACUCGGUCAUUAAACAAAUCGGUCGAUAAACAAAGAGCCACCCCUUACCGAUAUUUCAAGCAUACUGUACUGGCAGUUGCUUUGUCAGCCAUCUUUCAUGUUACUUUUGUAACAUUUAUAAAAUUUUUUGUAUAUUUUUCAAGGUUUAUGUGGUAGUGUAUUGUAUACUGUAAUAAGCAGAACAGAGGAAAUCAGCUCUAAUAUACAUUACUUGUUGCCGACAUCUUGUGCUAUGGGUUACACAACAAAGUAAGGAGCAUGUGCUGACAGUGUGGUGCAGCACCCACCACGACACCAUCUACCUCAUGGAUGAGAGCCUGAAUGCAGCCAUGCAGUGGGCGAUACUUAAGCACCACACUAGUCCAAAUGUGAGUUUUUGUUCAGGUGGCUGGAAUGUCAAUCCUGCCACCAACCUCCAAGUUUUUCCCUGUAAGUUGGAGGGCCUCCUUAUAGGGCUGGAUGUAGAUUAACAUCGUAGCCAGGACAAAGCAAUUGCAGGUUAAGGGCCUUGGUCUAGGGCCCAAUGGAGUAGAAUCACUCUGGCCAUUCAUGGGAUUUGAAUCAGCAACCUUCCUGUUCCUGGAACAGAUUCCUAGUCUCAGAGCCACCACUCUGCCUGCAAUAUGGGGUGCAAAAUAUGAAUUAAUAUAUGAAAUAUGUAGUCUUCGAGAUUGCAAACAUUAGUGUAGUGAAUACUAACCCACUGUGGGAGCAAGACUGAGACUGAGAAAGGGUGAUGCAAGAUUAGAUGCUUGACAUCGAGACACCAGGCUGCUUAUUUGGUUGUAAGUCCAUGUGGUUGUUACAGAGGUAGGCUGUUAAGUGAGGAGUGUCUGUAUUGUAUGUUCUUAUACAGUUAUGUGAAGAGCGUACACCCAUUUUCAGUUAUAUGGUUUUAGGUAUCAGGACAAAAAUUUUAAAAAGUUAAAUGGUCCCUGCCAUAUUAUUUAAAUGUAACCUCAGGUGUAAAACUACUGACAACAGAUUCCACCAUGUUGUAAUGUCUUGUAUUGUGGUUCAUCUGAGGUUGGAUUUAAUUAAGACCUGCUAAGGACCAGGGGCCGUUUGCACAAAACACCUUAAGUUUUCCCCUUAAGUAUGACACUUAAGGUUUGAUUUCUCCUUAGCUAAGGGAUUUAUUUAAGGGUGUUGCACAGAACCCCUUAAAAUGUUUCCUUAUUUAAGGAAAAACAUUAAGGGAUUUACAACAUUGAAAGAGGUUUUACAGCAGUUAAAUUUUCCCAUUUCCAUGGAGACCAUUCAUACACUUGCACUCGAGCCUGCUUGUGAUACCCGUUAUCGCCUCACAAAGUUACUCGCAAAGUAAAAAAAUGGAAGAAAAGAAAACAGGAAAGCCAAAUUGGUCAGAGGAGGAAAAGAUUAUACUUUUGGAGAAAUACAAUAAAAGAAAGAACAUACUAAAAAGUAAAUUUGAUCCGCAAAUAACAGGAAACAGACGGAAAUUGCAAUGAAAAUUAAUUCAAGAAGUCUGGUGAAAAGGUCUAUCCAAGACCUUUGUCCAAAAAAUUACAACUUAUCUGUUCUGGCCAAAAAAGGGAUCACUAAUUACAGGAGAGAAUGCGACAAAACUGGUAAGAUAACUCUUACCAGUUGACGUUAACUUACAACUUCAGAUAGGUUAAACGACUUGAGGGAACUUUUAACGUUAGUCUAUGUUGCUGACAGUGAAAUAGAUCUCUGUACAUAAGUUGCUCAUCUUCUUUCAACAAGUUAUUAUUAAAGUAUUUAAGGUACAGAUAUAAAGUAAACUGUAAGGGCGGGUAACGUUAUAGGCUAUGGUUAGUUAGCGAGCUCAGCUGAACGUGAAACAGGCUUAACUUUCUAUGACUCUCGCGUUUAGACUGCAGCUUCAUGUGCUAGGAGCCCGUGGCAUAAACCCGCAGAGCAAACAUUAACUGCAACUCAGCUGGGGGAGCACAGCUUCGGAUUGUGGGGCAAUCUAACUGCACAUGGUCGGACAAAUCAUAAAUUGACUGCCGGUCAAAUUUAUAAAGCAAAAUCAAUUGUUCAUCAUUAAGUUUAUCUAAGGGGUUCUCCCGGUCGCGGAACACUCUUUUUGGGAUGCGUUCAUUUUCGUAAUUUUCUGUAUCAUCAUAAACUCUGCCAUGUUGCAGUUAAGAUAUGGUUAGAGGUACCUUAAUUUUUUUCCCCUUAGUUUUGUUGCUAAGGUUUUUUGUGCAACCGUUAAGGGAUUCCUUAAGUAUAAGACCAAGAUAAGGAGAAAAACUUAAAUACUUAAGAGAAAAUUUUAAGGAAACGUUAAGGAGGAGACUUAAGGGUGUUUUGUGCAACCAACUAUAUUUUAAGGAGACCUUAACUCGGACUUUAAGAAAAAUCUUAACUUAAGAUGUUUUGUGCAACCGGCCCCAGAUUUUUUAUUAUGUCCUGAUACAUAAAACCUUAAAAUUGAAAGAGGGGGUACUUUCUUUUUCACAUGACUGUAUAUUGUUUGUAUUGUGUAAGUACAUUGUAUGUAUUACUUGUUCUCGCUAUUCUUUUAUGUGUUAUUUGCAAUGUAGUGUCAUUCAUCGUUAUGUCAUUCAAGUCUGAAGGGAGGUACGCAAGCUUUUCAUUGUACAUAUAACAAUAAAGCUUUUGAUUCUUGAGACUCUUAGCAGUGCAAUGACAGACAGCAAAAGAACAAAUAAUAGUUUGUGCAAAUAAGCCAAAAGCGCCUAAUUAGAUGAGUGAUCCAAAUCUGCAGCAUCUCAGGUAUCACAUAUAUGAUUCUAUAUGUUAUAUUUAUAUAUUUUUCAAGUUAGUAUGUGGUCAACUUGCAGAAUCCUGGCUGCUAUAAUACCCGUUAUGGUACCAGACCAUCACUUUCUCACACUCGCAAAGCAAGAACCUAGUUUCCAUUCCUUGUCGAUUUCACCCACCAGCUGAUUAUCCGGCAUGCCUAUCUCAGGCAGUAUAUUCUAGGAAAUUAUGCCAGUCCACCGCUAUAGCAUUGGAAAUAAAGUUUGCCUAAGCUUGCAUGAAACCAUCAGGUAUUCAUAACAAA